rnacentral:rRNA from 1 species
GACGAACGCUGGCGGCGUGCUUAACACAUGCAAGUCGAACGGAAAGGCCCUGCUUGCAGGGUACUCGAGUGGCGAACGGGUGAGUAACACGUGGGUGUUCUGCCCUGCACUUCGGGGUAAGCCUGGGAAACUGGGUCUAUUACCGGAUAUGACCCUCCAUGUAGUGUGGGGGGUGGAGAGAUUUAUCGGUGUGGGAUGAGCCCGCGGCCUAUCAGCUUGUUGGUGGGGUAAUGGCCUACCAAGGCGUCGACGGGUAGCCGGCCUGAGAGGGUGGACGGCCACAUUGGGACUGAGAUACGGCCCAGACUCCUACGGGAGGCAGCAGUGGGGAAUAUUGCACAAUGGGCGGAAGCCUGAUGCAGCGACGCCGCGUGGGGGAUGACGGCCUUCGGGUUGUAAACCUCUUUCGACAGGGACGAAGCGUCGGUGACGGUACCGGUAGAAGAAGCACCGGCUAACUACGUG